rnacentral:tRNA from 1 species
AGGAGAAUAGUUAAUAAUAACAUUUAAAUUGCAAUUAAAAAUUACAUAAUAUGUUUCUCUUA